CCCCGUGCAGCUCGCAUGCCGCCCCCGUGCAACUCACCUCCCGCGAGCAAACUCUCUCUGGCGAGUCCAUCUCGUGUCCGCACCACUUGUUGUGUCAGUUCGAUUACAUGGAUCGGUUUCAGUGCGAGAGCGCAGCAGCACUCCCAUGAAAGGACCUAGUGCGGUUCAUUAGCUUAUUCUAAAUUAUUGAAAAAUCCUGCAGUCCUGUUUCUAAUUAGUAACAAAACAGUUUGAGUGCAGUUUUUUGAUUAUUUUGCAGCAGCACUUCCAUUCAACCCGCAGGUCGUUUCCAACACAAAACGUGCAUUUUGGAUGCGCGUGGUGUUUUGUUUCACCUCGUGACAGAAUGCAACCCAGGUCGUCACUCGGUGCAGUCAACCUUGCCAUGCGAUGACGUACACCGACGUCUCCAAGCAGUUCUGACGACCAGCUCGCGUGAGCCCGCAACUCCCCGACUUCCUUUGUUGUGGGUCGUAUGAAUUACAGUGUGGCUCAGAUCAUACCAUGAAGUUUGGAGCAUGUGAACAUGCAGUGUAAAAUGGUGCAUUUUGUUUUUGAGGGGUUUAUGUAUAAAAAUUACAGGGACUUUAUUUGAAUGUUUUCAUAAAUUGCAGUUUGGAGUAUCUGCACAUGCAGUGCAGACGCUGCUUUUGUGUUUGUGGAUUUUUUUGUAUAAACAUUGUAGGGUCUCAUUUGUUUGCACCGAAACAUGGUGAUGUUCAGACAUGAGCAUGCAGUUUCGACCAUGUGGACAUGUAGUGCAAAAUGGUGUUUUCCGUGUUUGAUGAUUUUAUGUAUAAAAGUUAUAUGGACUCGUUCGAAAAUUGUUUACCAAAGAACUUCAUUUCGAAUUGUGUUGCGGCUCAUUUCCCUUGACCAUGUGGUUCGCUUCUUUGCACAUGGUAGUGAAGAAGGAAGUGAAGUGCAAAGAUGUGUUAAAUGAAAAAUGGUAGAGAAAUGACAAAAAAGUAAUGUCAUUCACUUACCAUUUGAUGCAGUGUUGUUUUCUAACUAAUGUCAUUUGAUGCAGUGUGGUUUUCUAAACUGAAGCAGUGCGGUCGGCUGUCUGAUGUUGUUCAUCUUGUAAGUGACCAUUUGAUGCAGUGCGGUUUUCUAACUGAAGCAGUGCGGUUCGAUGUCUGAUAUUGUUCAUCUUGUAAAUGAAAAGAAAAAAUGUUACUAAAACGAGAAAUAAAGUAAUGUGGUU
rnacentral:lncRNA from 1 species